CAGUCGCCACGGUAAUACGGAGGGUGCAAGCGUUAUCCGGAUUUAUUGGGUUUAAAGGGUCCGUAGGCGGAUCUGUAAGUCAGUGGUGAAAUCUCACAGCUUAACUGUGAAACUGCCAUUGAUACUGCAGGUCUUGAGUAAAUUUGAAGUGGCUGGAAUAAGUAGUGUAGCGGUGAAAUGCAUAGAUAUUACUUAGAACACCAAUUGCGAAGGCAGGUCACUAAGAUUUAACUGACGCUGAUGGACGAAAGCGUGGGGAGCGAACAGGAUUAGAUACCCCAGUAGUCCCUGUCUCUUAUAA
rnacentral:rRNA from 1 species